rnacentral:lncRNA from 10 species
GGAGGUGCUUUUGCCAGGCUGCUGGGUGUGCAUUCCAGCUUUGCCGCAAAACUUUAAUCCAGUUAUUUAACUUCUCUGUGCUUUGGUUUUGUUUAACCUCAUAAAACAGUGAUGAUGAUAAUGAUACACCAGCUACCUCAUGGGUUCUUUUUGAGAAUUAAAUGGAAUAAUGCAAAUAAAAACCAGGGCUAGGGAUAUAGACAGCAAUCAGUGAAGCUACUUUAAAGCAUUGUGUUUUUAUUAUGGAAAAGAUCUGGGCUGGGUUCUGGCUCAGCCACUAACUCACAGUGUCACUACGGAUGGGUCACUUUCUGUGUUGGUUCUCUGUGAGUACCCUGUGCUUUCCCAGCCACCGGGUCUCAGCCACGCCUUCCCUCAUCCUUGCUCCCCAUCUUUUAGGACAAUAGCCGGAGGCAGAAGCAGUUGUUAAACCAGAGGUUUGAGAGCCUGUGCGCAGUGCUGGAGGAGCGCAAGGGUGAGCUGCUGCAGGCGCUGGCCCGGGAGCAAGAGGAGAAGCUGCAGCGCGUCCGCGGCCUCAUCCGUCAGUAUGGCGACCACCUGGAGGCCUCCUCUAAGCUGGUGGAGUCUGCCAUCCAGUCCAUGGAAGAGCCACAAAUGGCGCUGUAUCUCCAGCAGGCCAAGGAGCUGAUCAAUAAGGUCGGGGCCAUGUCGAAGGUGGAGCUGGCAGGGCGGCCGGAGCCAGGC